UCUUUCAAAUUUCCCCGCUUC
rnacentral:piRNA from 1 species